rfam:Gossypium hirsutum cultivar TM-1 unplaced genomic scaffold scaffold336.1, whole genome shotgun sequence
AUACCUUUCUCGGCCUUUUGGCUAAGAUCAAGUGUAGUAUCUGUUCUUAUCAGUUUAAUAUCUGAUACGUGGGCCAUUGGUCCACAUGAUAUUAAAUUUAUUUUUUGAGGGAGAGGGUCCACAACAGUAGCUUGCUACUGGGACUCUCAAGCGUCGCCCAGGCGUUGCACUGGUGCCCGGGCCUGGCGCAUCCCAC